CACCGCCCAUCGCUACUACCGAUUGAAUAGUUUAGUGAGGUUUCCAGAUUGGCACUGUCAGAUGGGCUUCGUAUCAUCCGACGGACGUCAAAAAGUUGGUCAAACUUGAUCUUUUAGAGGAAGUAAAAGUCGGAACAAAGUUUCCGUAGGUGAACCUGCGAAAG
rnacentral:rRNA from 1 species